UACAAUAUGGUGUAUGAGCACAUGAAUUUUUGGGGUUUAGGGUAUAGGUUCAUUACCUUUUUUUGUAA
rnacentral:tRNA from 1 species